GCCAGACUCCUACGGGAGGCAGCAGUGGGGAAUAUUGCACAAUGGGGGAAACCCUGAUGCAGCAACGCCGCGUGGGUGAAGAAGUAUUUCGGUAUGUAAAGCCCUAUCAGCAGGGAAGAGAAUGACGGUACCUGACUAAGAAGCCCCGGCUAACUACGUGCCAGCAGCCGCGGUAAUACGUAGGGGGCAAGCGUUAUCCGGAUUUACUGGGUGUAAAGGGAGCGUAGACGGUUGUGCAAGUCUGAAGUGAAAGCCCGCGGCUCAACUGCGGAACGGCUUUGGAAACUGUGUAACUGGAGUGCUGGAGAGGUAAGCGGAAUUCCUGGUGUAGCGGUGAAAUGCGUAGAGAUCAGGAGGAACACCGGCGGCGAAGGCGGCUUACUAGACAGUAACUGACGUUGAGGCUCGAAAGCGUGGGGGGCAAACAGGAUUAGAUACCCCGGUA
rnacentral:rRNA from 1 species